rnacentral:misc_RNA from 1 species
UUUCCGUAGGUGAACCUGCGGAAGGACCAUUAAAAAAUGUGGUACCAUUUGUUGGUACUAAUUAAUCAUCCUACCCUUUGUGAAUUUGUUUGUAUGAAUUUUUUUAAAUGGGUCUUUCCCUAAGUUGGAUUGUAGUAAAAUACAAAAAGACUUAGGGGAAUGACUUUUUUAAAAGACUUUUUUUUAAUUAAAACUUUUUGUAUUCAUUUGUCUAAAAUUUAUUUUUAUAAUAUAAAAACAACUUUUGACAAUGGAUCUCUUGGUUCUCGCAACGAUGAAGAACGCAGCAAAAUGCGAUAAGUGGUGUGAAUUGCAGAAUACGUGAAUCAUCGAAUCUUCGAACGCAUAUUGCACUUUUUUAGUUUACUAAAAAGUAUGUCUGUUUGAGUAUCAGUAAAAUAUUCUCACAAACAUAUAUUGUUUGUGGUAUGAGUGUUUUACAACGAUAAACAAGUUGUUUCACUUUAAAUUCUUUUAUUGAAUUUUUACUACCAAUUACAAAUUAAAAUUGGAUAAAAUUUUCCUUUAACGAGGAAUAACCUAAACAAUUUUAAAUUUUUGGAUUAUAAAAUCCAUAAAGGAUCUAUACAUAAAUAACUUGAUCUCAAAUCAGAUAAGAGUACCCGCUGAACUUAAGCAUAUCAAUAAGCGGAGGAAAAGAAACUAACAAGGAUUCCCUUAGUAACGGCGAGUGAAGCGGGAAGAGCUCAAAUUUGAAAUCUUCAAGGUUUGACCUUGACGAAUUGUAGUUUAUAGAAGUGUUUUCUGUUGGAGUUUUGGUAAAAGUUCUUUGGAAUAGGACAUCAUAGAGGGUGAGAAUCCCGUAUUUGACCAUGACUUUCCAGCUGUGUGAUACACUUUCAAAGAGUCGGAUUGUUUGGGAAUGCAGUCCAAAAUGGGUGGUAAAUUUCAUCUAAAGCUAAAUAUUGGCGAGAGACCGAUAGCGAACAAGUACCGUGAGGGAGAGAUGAAAAGAACUUUGAAAAGAGAGUUAAACAGUACGUGAAAUUGUCAAAAGGGAAGCGUUUGACACCAGUGUUGUUUUCUCGAAAAUCAAUUUAAUGAGUUCUUGUUUUUAAGUUAUUGUGACUUUAUCAGCGCAUUUCUUAUUUUACUUGACUCAUUGAAUGCACUUUUCGUUUAACAAGUCAACAUCAAUUUCUUUGGUGGUAAAAAGUUUAAAGGAAGGUGGCUUGGACUUCGGUUCAAGUGUUUAUAGCCUUUUUUCUAUGCCAUCGGAGAGAUUGAGGUCUGCAGCGUAGAUCCUUCGGGGUUAGAUACCUUUGUGCUAAGUUAUAGUUUUUUAUAGACAACUUGUUGACUAUAAUUAACCCUGUAAUUUACUCGCUUAGGCUAUUU